GGAAUACGUAAUACUGUAAGGCCAUAAGGUUCAAAACGAAAUAAUCAUAACAUGAAAGUGGGGUAUAGAAUACCCAAAACAACUGUAAUAAUAUCUGAAGUCUGAACAUACUAGUCUGAAAAGCCUCUAACUGAAGUCUGAACAUACUAGUCUAAAAAGCCUCUAACAUGACUGUCUAAAUAGGGAGUUAAUGGGACAUGUCCCCAACUAACUCCGACUAGCAAAACUGAACUGAAAUAAACCAUAACAUAAGUAAUGAUCAUGCUCUCGAGAGACGAGGACUCACUGCUGGAACUCUGACAGGUAGGAUUCUACUGCUACUGUUGGUCUGGAAAUCAUGUAUCUGAACCUAUGGUGUAACAUAAAAGAAAGCACCAUAGCGCGAAUACGUCAGUACAACUGAGAGUACUGAGUAUAUGAGUGAGGUAGGCUAAAUGCAAAGGGUUUGUAUGCAUGAACAAUGCUGACUGAUAUGAACGUGAGAACACAUACAUACAUAAGUAACUGCUACUGAACUCUUGACGAUACUGACUACUGAGUCUGAAUACUGACAACAUGAGUUUACCAGUUUCGAGAUACUAAGUGACUGUGUUUACUGAUAUUGAUCUGUGAAUCACUAAUAAGUGAGGAACUGAUACUGUAUUACUGAAUACCAGGAGACUGAUACUUUAUUACUGAUAAAGGAAUGAUUGUUUCUAGCAGUCCUGAUUAUGAAGUACUGGUCUAAUUGACUAUAUCUGAUAGUCCUGAAACUGAGUAUGAUAGCAUGAGUUUACUGAAAUCUAAUAUGACUGGCAAAUGAUUUCUGAUAGCUGAUAUAGCUGAUAACCUGAGUGACUAUAUCUGAUAGCUUUGCUACUGGAUACUGAUAACAUGGUUGACUGUAGCUAACAGCCCUAAAUCUGAUGGAACUAUCUGAGUUCCGUACUAUAUCUGAGUUGACUGUAUCUGACAGUCCUAAUAUUCUGAAGAACUAUCUGAGUUCUUUUACUAAGACUGAAUGACUGAAACUGUGGGAGGUACUAGUUUAACUGACAUGCCCCAUGUAUUCUAAUGUAGCUGAAAUGGGGUCCAAUCCUUGCCCUGAUUGGAAGGGUGUCAAUACCAUGCCACGGGUAAAGACAAGCUGUGAGUGACCCUCAAAUCUGGCAGUGUCCCCAAAAGAGAACGGCAGAUGUCCUCCUCAUCAACCCUCAAGCUGGCAGUGUUGAUGUCUCAAUCUAUGCUGGCUACAUAGUUCUGGAACGCAAGAAUGACUACUAAGAAUCACACCCUCAUCUGACAGUGGUGUUCCCAUCCUUGGGUUUAGUCGGUGCUAACUUCUACUCCCAUCUGAAUAAACACUGAGCAUGACUGACUGAACUGAUUAACUGAACUGAUAGUGUUGCUUAGCUGAGCUAAGCUAAAUUUAAUGAGUUCCGUUGACUGACAGAAUACUACUGAGAUCUGAGGACUGAUGGAGAGGACUGAAGUUACUGAGUACUGAGUAGAACUGGACUGGUACUGAGUUUACUGAAUUUUCAUUGACUGACGGAAUUACUACUGAUGUCUGGUAACUGACUGAGUUCAUGAGAUUACUGAGAUUUCCUGAGUCACAUGACUGACUGAAUUCUACUGAGCAUGGCUUGACUGAGGAUAUCGUGACAACAUGACAUGGCUCUAGGCACACAGCUAUAUUUUUUGGGUACAAGUACCCCCAGGACUCGAUAGAAGGAAACUGACACACAUAACUGACUUGAUCAUAAGAAUAGAGUCCACAAUUCACAAUAUCAUAACUAGGGGAUUUCAUACUACACAUGGCUAUCAUAUUCUUGGUCAUGAAAAAGGAAUGCAUAUAACAUGUAAAUACUUGCAAAAAUUCAAUUUCAUGGGCAUUCCAUAUUACAACAACAAUGCAUAACAAUUUGCAUAGAAAUCAUGUUGAACAUAAGCAUAGAACAUGGACUAGUCAUUUAGGACCUAUUAUGUCAUAAAAGCAUGAUUUCUAGUCUCUUAGGUAUUUUCACAAACACCUUACAUGCAAAUCUUUAGCAUAGGUGGAUUCAUCAAGAUUACAAGUAUUCAACCACUAAUUUCACAUGUUUAUACAUCAUAUAUCACCAUAGUUUCAACUUUCAUACAAACAUACUAAGUUCCCAUCUUGGGCAUCAUCAAAUUUCGACAACAUGAUCAUCAACCAUCAACAUCAUAAAUAUCAUAAUACAUAAUUUAGAAGAUGAUUUUUUUGAGCUUUAUGGAAGAAAGGAAUCCAAUCAACACACGCAUACCUUAGUUCAUGAUUCUUGGAAGAUUGAUGGAAAGAUGCUUGAAAUUAAAUCCCCAAUUGAAAACCAUCUUCUUGUUCUUGAGAGAAAAUGGAAUAAAAGAGUG
rnacentral:lncRNA from 1 species